AAAUAUUUUGUUUGGUCAACAGCAAUAUAUUCACACGAUGAAGGAAGCCAGACGCGGACAAGCCAAUUGGCUGAGUUGGAAGGCCGUCAUCACGCCUACUUGGUAAAACUCAUGGAUAAUGUCAUAUAAAAGGCAAGGAUUGGUUUGGUUAGGUAUGUAUUCCUGUUCUACACAAAACAGUAAACUGAAAACUCCUCUCGCUCGCUGGUUUCCAGUUUAAUUUUUAAGGCUGUAUUGAAUUCUUUUCAAGACAAAUCAAUUCUCCUUUGGCAAACGCAAGUUUUGCUUUUUUCGGUAUUCAAUUCUCGAUAUUGCCCCAUUUUUGCUUCUCUUGCGUUCUUCUAGCUGCAGAUCUUUUUCUCCCCGGACAGAAAGAGGAGUUUUAGCUGCAAUUCUUACAGAUUAAAAAGAAGAUCAUGGGUCACCACCACCAUCACCAUCAUGGAGACAGCCCAUAUGAUGAUCCAUUUUUGGCAUGUUGUUGCUGCCCUUGCUUGCUUGUAUCUUCUAUUUUCAGGGGAAUUGGCGGUUGCAUAUUCGCGGUUUGUUACCCUUUCUUGCGGUGUUUUGGAUUGGACGAGAUCGGUCACCGUCACCACCACCACCACCACCACCACCACCAUUGCUGAUAAUCCCAGCUUGAAAAUUAUGUGAACUUGAAUGUCCUGGUGGAUCUAUUUAAUCUGCUCCUUUUCUUCCUUUUUCUCUUCUGGUUUUCAUUUUUCCCCAAAUUCUAUGUGGUAGAAAAUUUCAAACGCGAGACAGUUCUGGUGAUUUUCUGUGACUUCUGUUAAAUACUGCAGUGUCAUUGUUUUGGUGAAUCAUUAUGAUGUUGUAUUUUAGUGAAAGACAUUGAUGGGAUUCAAUUAAUAAUGUAGCAUCAUAGCUCAUUAUCCUUCU